AAGAAAAAGGCUAGUAAACGAGCCACUGAUGUUUGGGUCGAUGCUUAACAUGCAGUAUCUAUAGGAUAUAUAUUAUCCUAUGUCUAGGUAGAAAGGAAAAAGCAUAAUCCACAUCUAUAUUGCCCUACACUAACGGUAUUUUCUUCGCCUUCCCUCUCCAUAGUACCAGCAUGCUUUUGCUCAGGGUUGCAUUAGCACAAUCACUAGUAAUUACAAGAGUGUGUACACUGGGAGAAUGAAGAUUGGGGAAGGUGGGAGGUAGGACGUGAUUCCCCUUUGGAGCAAUCAGGACUGGGAAAGGUUUCAAUCCAUGCAAACGGUGCAGAGGAAUAUCUCUGGUUGAAAGAUCCACCUUUCCCCACAGUAGGAGAUUUCUUACUCAGGUACUGGAAAUUAAUUCAUGUUCCAAGGUGGACAUUGCCUGAGUAUGGACAGUGCCAUGCUGCGAAGCCAGGCACUCCUGUCAGGAAAGGAAGAGCUCGACUGCUUUUCUCCUCGGCACAGAGUGCUAGCAGCUGUCCUCUUAGUUUAUCACCAAAGAGCUGAUUUAUGCAAAGGGUUUGCUUUUGAGAAAAAAAAAAAAAACCUCUUGAAAGCUUUGCUGGAAGACAUUGACAUGCAGGUGAGUUAGGUAGUCUUGUUGUGUUAUUUUCAUGUACUUGAGAUCCAUAUAAUUUAUUUUAACGGUCAAAAAUAGGAUACACGAGGUGGUGCCACAUAUGUGUUCUUCGUUGCCUGUUUCAUUAGCUGAGUUGUUUGGACCCUGCUGUUUUCAGAGAAAGAUUUUGUAUUUGACACAUCGUGCUAAUAUCAGUCAUUAGGUACAACUGCCUGUGAUUGGUGCUCUAUAAAUACCUAUGCACAAGUGGUUUUCGAUUGUUGCUGUGUAAAUACCUACCAGAGAUAGCUCUGCACUGGCCAGGAAAUAAAUGAAUUGAAUUGUCCUACAAGAAACAUGUAGAAGUAGAUAGUGAGGGAAAACUGUUCUAUGCUCCUUUGCAGAUGUAAUGACAGUGGUUUCAGGGAGAGGUGGCCUCACCUCCCUGGCCUUACCCAGGGACCCCGCAGAUGCUGCUACUAGUGUCAAAGACUCCUGCAGCUUUGCCUGGCUUCCAGGUAAUGCAGCAUCAAUGGACAUGCACAGUGUGGUUUCUCCACUGGCUUUUUCUACCUUGUGGGGACCAGACCAGGAAACAGGGUCUGCUGGGAAAGCUAGGUAUCAGAUGACUAAAAUAACUACUCAGGGGUCUUCUACCAUGGUUGAUCACUGAAGUAUGGAGUUUGCCCAUCCUUAGCCUCGUUACUGAAGUUCUGCUGUCACUGGUUGACAGUUUGUCCCAUACUCUGUGUCAUCUUUCCAAAACAUCUUCAAAUCCACAUGUAAAGCAUUUUGACACAGAUUGACUAGCCUGUGUACAACAUUUAUUAGAAACCAGGUUUAGAUUUUCUUUGUGGUGGCAUUUUCCCUUUUUGCAUCAAGCAUGCAAGAUAAAACUACUCACAUUGUUGGUUCUUUCUGUAAUUUGAGGGAGAGAUGCAUUUCAUCCUAAUGCAGGAUGCAUGGAUCAUACCUUCAGGUGAACAGGGGUAAGAACAAAAAACAGCAAGAAAAAGGUUUUGACUUUGUUGAUAAAACUAUGCUGAGAAAACUUUUUGCCCAGGCCAGUGAAGACAAGAGCUCAGCCUUAGGCUUGCUGGAUAGUGAAGGCAAACUCUGAGUUUGCACAGGGCCAAAUAUAUUCCUGCCUCUAGAAGUCAGUAGUCUGAUACCCCUAAUUAUGUGGACCUGCCGAUUUCAAUAGAACUUGCAUCCUGAUAUAAUAUAGAAUCAAAUUUGGCUGUUACAUCAGAUCAGUGUAAGUUACAGUAAUUUUGAACAUCUGUUGAAUUGCAAUUAAGUAUGAUUAUGUACUUCACCCCCUAUAGUCAUUUCCUUACCUAAUUACAUCCAACCACUUUGCAUGCCACUACUGAAUUUACCCAGGUAUAUUUCUGAGUCAGUUCUCCUAUAGCUCUCCAAAUGUGAUGAUGUUCAGACAAGAAAGUACUCUUUUAAAUUAAGAGCAAUUUACAAUAUGGUACACUUUCAACAUUCAAUUAAAUAAUAAAGAUAUGAGAAUAAAAUCCUUUUGCAGCUCCAGGGAGCCACUGAUGGAAUAAUCUGCAAAUAAGAUUAAAAGAUUUCAGUACAACUAAGAUUGCCUUUCAUGACCUUAAAUGUCAUCUACAUCAGAUUUAAUUCUAAACACUGAAUUUUUCCUUUUUCAUUAGUCAGUCCAGGAGAGAGAUCAUAAGGUGGAUAUUAGUAUGUGAAUGAAUAAUGCUUUAUUUUCUAGAAAUGCAUCCUACUUGAUUUAUAUUUCCAUUUCAAUAGUAAAACCUUUGCUGUAUAAUGUAUGUAAAGCUCCCACCUGCAAACAUGAUUAUUCUGUGUUGUUGACAUCGCAUUAUUAUGCAAUAAAUACUUUGUCAUGACUUGCAUAUUUUUAG